GCGGGUGUAACUCAAUUGGUAGAGUGUCAGCCUUCCAAGCUGAAUGUUGAGAGUUCGAGCCUCUUCACCCGCU
rnacentral:tRNA from 1 species